CCUACGGGCGGCAGCAGUGAGGAAUAUUGGUCAAUGGACGCGAGUCUGAACCAGCCAAGUAGCGUGAAGGAUGACUGCCCUACGGGUUGUAAACUUCUUUUAUAAAGGAAUAAAGUGAUGCACGUGUGCCUUUUUGUAUGUACUUUAUGAAUAAGGAUCGGCUAACUCCGUGCCAGCAGCCGCGGUAAUACGGAGGAUCCGAGCGUUAUCCGGAUUUAUUGGGUUUAAAGGGAGCGUAGGUGGAUUGUUAAGUCAGUUGUGAAAGUUUGCGGCUCAACCGUAAAAUUGCAAUUGAUACUGGUAGUCUUGAGUACAGUAGAGGUGGGCGGAAUUCGUGGUGUAGCGGUGAAAUGCUUAGAUAUCACGAAGAACUCCGAUUGCAAAGGCAGCCCACUGAACUGCAACUGACACUGAGGCUCGAAAGUGUGGGUAUCAAACAGGAUUAGAUACCCCAGUAGUC
rnacentral:rRNA from 1 species